CUACGGGGGGCAGCAGUAGGGAAUAUUGCUCAAUGGGGGAAACCCUGAAGCAGCAACGCCGCGUGGAGGAUGACACUUUUCGGAGCGUAAACUCCUUUUCUUGGGGAAGAAAUUUGACGGUACCCAAGGAAUAAGCACCGGCUAACUCCGUGCCAGCAGCCGCGGUAAUACGGAGGGUGCAAGCGUUACUCGGAAUCACUGGGCGUAAAGGACGCGUAGGCGGAUUAUCAAGUCUCUUGUGAAAUCCAAUGGCUUAACCAUUGAACUGCUUGAGAAACUGAUAAUCUAGAGUGAGGGAGAGGCAGAUGGAAUUGGUGGUGUAGGGGUAAAAUCCGUAGAGAUCACCAGGAAUACCCAUUGCGAAGGCGAUCUGCUGGAACUCAACUGACGCUAAUGCGUGAAAGCGUGGGGAGCAAACAGGAUUAGAUACCCCGGUAGUC
rnacentral:rRNA from 1 species